UACGGAAGGCAGCAGUGGGGAAUAUUGCACAAUGGGCGCAAGCCUGAUGCAGCCAUGCCGCGUGUAUGAAGAAGGCCUUCGGGUUGUAAAGUACUUUCAGUCGUGAGGAAGGUGUUAAGGUUAAUAACCUUAGCAAUUGACGUUAGCGACAGAAGAAGCACCGGCUAACUCCGUGCCAGCAGCCGCGGUAAUACGGAGGGUGCGAGCGUUAAUCGGAAUUAUUGGGCGUAAAGGGCACGCAGGCGGUUAAUUAAGUUGGAUGUGAAAUCCCCGGGCUUAACCUGGGAAUGGCAUUCAAGACUGGUUAGCUAGAGUCUUGUAGAGGGGGUAGAAUUCCAUGUGUAGCGGUGAAAUGCGUAGAGAUGUGGAGGAAUACCGGUGGCGAAGGCGGCCCCUGGACAAAGACUGACGCUCAUGUGCGAAAGCGUGGGGAGCAAACAGGGAUUAGAUACC
rnacentral:rRNA from 1 species